AAUCGUCUUUUUUUAUCUGUCUCAUAAAACCGAUUUUUCUGAGAUCCCUUCUUCUGCGUACUCAACUCUUCUUUGGUUCUUUACAUCAUCUUGAACAAGUGAUUGCAACAUCUGCAUCUUUUUGCUGAUUCGGAUUCAGUAGUACUUGAAGGAUUUGUAGUCCAGCAAAAGUUUAAAUUUGAUGCAGUUGCCACUACCAAGACUACCUCAAUCAUCUCCAGUCUCCACCAACAAAACAGAUGAUAUACAGAUGAUCGUUGGAAAAGAAUCAUUGGUCUCUACAGAGGUUAUUGGUUUAUUGACCUGCCCUGUGAAUGCCCAGUCAAUGACCAAACCUAAUGGCCAGGAGUGCAUGCUGCAUGAAAAGAUAAUCCAGAACCUCUGCUCAUACUCUGGUAGAGCUACAACGAAGGUGGACGAUUUUUCUUCUUCCCAAAUUAUCAUAGAUCCUUUGUGCUUUAAUUUAGAAGCUUGACAAAUGUGGAAGUUACAAAGAGGCCUAAUUGGAAGGAGUGCCGGAAUUGAGAACUGACAAUCGUGGGCUUGAGGUCUAUGUUUGUGGUGAAUAUAAUUUGCGUGCUUUGUUAGUUUAAGGUUUUGGAUUUCAAGUUCAUGUCUUUUCAGAUUGUAAAUUUGUGAUUCAGAAGUGCUAAUUGGCUAUCUUCUAAUUUGAUACUGUAUUUCUUUAGCUAAGUGUUCAGUACAAUGAACACCAUUUUCUCUCAUUUCAGAGCUUGCAUAUAUGUGCUUAUGAAUUUGGGACCUUCAAAGCCUCAUAACUCCUGGAAAUGUGUAGAUGUUGCUGAGUGUUAUGGUGUCGGUAAUUGGCCAAUCGGAUUUAGGGCGUCACUAUGUCUGCUCUUUGGUGAUAACAAAUCCCUUCAUAAUCAAGGGUGUAAAAUUUUGAUUUUCUUCGGAUCCGCGGGAGUAAUUCGGGGCCGUUGAUUCUGUUUUUGCUCGAGGUAACCAAUCAAUGAAGCCAAUUUAUACCCUUGCAUAGCUUUGUCGGAUUUUGAUACACAGUUGAGUUGUUUGUUGGUUUUGUAUAUGGUGGUGACGUUGUAUCUGGAUAGAAGAGUGUUGUAUUGGUCAACUUAUGUGCUUCAUUCAAGGCUGGGAAGAACGAACAUGGAUGGAUGAUUUAAGGUGCUCGCAUUCAUUGGUUUACUUGCCCCGACUUUGGCUACGACAAUUCUUAAGAAGAACGAAAGCUCUAGCAAAGAUUAAUUUUAAGAAAAGAAAGGCAACCAUUUUCCUGAGGAAUAAUGUGUUGAAACAAAAUCAUCCUAGAUCAUGAGGUGAUGACCCAUGUCAAUCCAAAUGUCACUUAGCUCAUUGUCGUCGGAUCAGUGAAGUCCAUGCCUGCAAUCUUAUGCUUAUUGUCAGAAGUCAGAACCCGAUGAGAUACAGUCAUGUAUUGCCAUUGAACGCUAGCAUCUCAGAUAAUGCAUGGCUUAGGGCUGCCAGUGAGUUGGAAUUGUAUGGAGCAGUCUAGCGUUGAUAAUUCAAAUCGCACAUGAAAGGUAACGUCUGUAUGACUACGAAAGAGGUGAUAGAAGAAUGCAAGUUUUUCUGUUUCGCUGGCCAAGAUACAACCUCAGAUUGUAUUACAUGGAACAUUAUAGUCUUGAGCAUGCAUCAAGAUUGGCAAGAAAAGGCCAGAGAAGAGGUCAUAAGAAUCUGUGGGAAAAACCCACCUCAGUUUGAAAGUCUUGCCGAUCUAAAGACUGUAACCAUGAUCCUAUAUGAAGUUCACAGGUUACAUCCACCUGUGAUCCAACAACAUGGGUGUACAUACAAAAAAAGUGCAGAUUAGAGAUCUCAACCUUCCUGCUGGGGCCGAGAUUAUACUACCAACACUUACUAUUCAUCAUCAUCCUGAACUAUGGGGUGAAGAUGUACAAGACUUCAUACCAGAGAUUCUGUAAGGGGAAUAUCCAAAGCGGCUAGAAUGCCAUCUUAGCUUCAGCAAUGGCGAAGUUUUGCCCUAUACAGAUCCUUGGUCCCCAUCCAAACGGAAAGAACGCUACUGGGCACCACCUCUAUCUAUUUACUGAUAUGCAUAUAAAGAUUCUGAUCAGGAGCAUUAUGAGGAUCAGACUUCAUCGUCGUUUCACCAUCCCUGUAAAUAUUCAGAUCUUCCUCUUUUUUGUAACUUCAGCAGGAUCAUGGAGCUAUUUUUGGAUAUUGGACUUCUUUCCUAGAAUUCAAACACGAUUGAUUCCGGGGUUUGCAUAAAGCAUUUGGGGAGAAUGGGAUCUGAGGGUAUAGCUUUACUAGCAAAGUUGCUGGGGUUUUAAUCCAUAUAGGCCUUCCUAACUAUAAUAAUAAUCCCAGUUGUACCACUACCUGUAGAAGCUGACUAAUGCUACGUUAUUUUACAAUCUAUGAUGGGAAUUUUCCUAAUGCCAGUUCCCCAAUUCUUUGUUCGUAUUUAGAGGACUUUUACAAAAUUAUUUGUUGGGUUUAUUAAUCAAUCAGUGAUUACCCCUGGUUGUGAUGAAAGAGUUAGUUUUUAUGUUUGGUAAAUACUUCUGUUUACUUGAUUGGUGUAGGAUGUAUUAUUUGUGCCAGGGGCGGAUAGGGAGCACAGAUAUUGCAUUACCCCUGGUUGUGAUGAAAGAGUUAGUUUUUAUGUUUGGUAACUACUUCUGUUUACUUGAUUGGUGUAGGAUGUAUUAUUUGUGCCAGGGGCGGAUAGGGAGCACAGAUAUUGCGUUUUUGUUAUAAUACAAUAUUGUGUCCCGCAGGGCUAUGCAAGUGUUGGGAAAUGAUGGUCCAGAUAACCAUAUGGAUGCAGCUAAUAUAUUCCAGCCCUUGCAUCACGUUGAUGGGUAGGAUACUGUGGAAUCCUGAGUUGGUUUCAGGGAUAGCUGUAUCGGUAAUGUUGUUGUGUGAAGGAAGCAACAGCAGCUAGGAAUCUAAUAAACUAUUUGAAUCAAAGAUGCAGUCAUCCAUGUCCCAGUAAUCCUUGAGUUUAUCUUUUGACAUCGUAUUCGGAUAUACAUGGCAAAGCACCAAAACGUCGACUCUCAUCACACCAGAACAACAUGAGUUACAGAUAGCAGAAGUUAUUAAACAAAGGUGAAUAUAUUCAUGUCUAUUUAAGGGUUAGUCCCACCAGUUUUCUUACAGAUUCAUUCCAUUUUCAGUUCCUUGAUAUGGUUUUCUACUUUAAGUAGUACCCAUGCUACGAUUCCUUGAUAUGUUACUAUAAUAACGAAAUUAUUAAACAACGUUGUUGUAUAUAUUUUCUUUUUUCUGGCUA